rnacentral:rRNA from 1 species
CAGGACGAACGCUGGCGGCACGCUUAACACAUGCAAGUCGAACGGAGAUAAUUGAGUUACUUAGAUUAUCUUAGUGGCGGACGGGUGAGUAACACGUGAGCAACCUACCUUAGAGAGAGGGAUAGCUUCUGGAAACGGAUGGUAAUACCUCAUAACAUAACUGAACCGCAUGAUUUAGUUAUCAAAGAUUUAUCACUCUGAGAUGGGCUCGCGUCUGAUUAGGAUAGUUGGUGAGGUAACGGCUCACCAAGUCGACGAUCAGUAGCCGGACUGAGAGGUUGAACGGCCACAUUGGGACUGAGACACGGCCCAGACUCCUACGGGAGGCAGCAGUGGGGAAUAUUGCACAAUGGGGGAAACCCUUGAUGCAGCGAUGCCGCGUGGAGGAAGAAGGUUUUCGGAUUGUAAACUCCUGUCUUAAAGGACGAUAAUGACGGUACUUUAGGAGGAAGCUCCGGCUAACUACGUGCCAGCCGCGGC